AAUGAACGCUGGCGGCAUGCCUAACACAUGCAAGUCGAACGAAGGCUUCGGCCUUAGUGGCGCACGGGUGCGUAACGCGUGGGAAUCUGCCCUUGGGUUCGGAAUAACUCGCCGAAAGGCGUGCUAAUACCGGAUGAUGACGUAAGUCCAAAGACUUAUCGCCCGAGGAUGAGCCCGCGUAGGAUUAGCUAGUUGGUGGGGUAAAGGCUCACCAAGGCGACGAUCCUUAGCUGGUCUGAGAGGAUGAUCAGCCACACUGGGACUGAGACACGGCCCAGACUCCUACGGGAGGCAGCAGUGGGGAAUAUUGGACAAUGGGCGCAAGCCUGAUCCAGCAAUGCCGCGUGAGUGAUGAAGGCCUUAGGGUUGUAAAGCUCUUUUACCCGGGAUGAUAAUGACAGUACCGGGAGAAUAAGCCCCGGCUAACUCCGUGCCAGCCGCCGCGGUAAUAC
rnacentral:rRNA from 1 species